GGGUUGUGAGGUUAAGCGACUAAGCGUACACGGUGGAUGCCCUGGCAGUCAGAGGCGAUGAAGGACGUGCUAAUCUGCGAUAAGCGUCGGUAAGGUGAUAUGAACCGUUAUAACCGGCGAUUUCCGAAUGGGGAAACCCAGUGUGUUUCGACACACUAUCAUUAACUGAAUCCAUAGGUUAAUGAGGCGAACCGGGGGAACUGAAACAUCUAAGUACCCCGAGGAAAAGAAAUCAACCGAGAUUCCCCCAGUAGCGGCGAGCGAACGGGGAGCAGCCCAGAGCCUGAAUCAGUGUGUGUGUUAGUGGAAGCGUCUGGAAAGGCGCGCGAUACAGGGUGACAGCCCCGUACACAAAAAUGCACAUGCUGUGAGCUCGAUGAGUAGGGCGGGACACGUGGUAUCCUGUCUGAAUAUGGGGGGACCAUCCUCCAAGGCUAAAUACUCCUGACUGACCGAUAGUGAACCAGUACCGUGAGGGAAAGGCGAAAAGAACCCCGGCGAGGGGAGUGAAAAAGAACCUGAAACCGUGUACGUACAAGCAGUGGGAGCACGCUUCGGCGUGUGACUGCGUACCUUUUGUAUAAUGGGUCAGCGACUUAUAUUCUGUAGCAAGGUUAACCGAAUAGGGGAGCCGAAGGGAAACCGAGUCUUAACUGGGCGUUAAGUUGCAGGGUAUAGACCCGAAACCCGGUGAUCUAGCCAUGGGCAGGUUGAAGGUUGGGUAACACUAACUGGAGGACCGAACCGACUAAUGUUGAAAAAUUAGCGGAUGACUUGUGGCUGGGGGUGAAAGGCCAAUCAAACCGGGAGAUAGCUGGUUCUCCCCGAAAGCUAUUUAGGUAGCGCCUCGUGAAUUCAUCUCCGGGGGUAGAGCACUGUUUCGGCAAGGGGGUCAUCCCGACUUACCAACCCGAUGCAAACUGCGAAUACCGGAGAAUGUUAUCACGGGAGACACACGGCGGGUGCUAACGUCCGUCGUGAAGAGGGAAACAACCCAGACCGCCAGCUAAGGUCCCAAAGUCAUGGUUAAGUGGGAAACGAUGUGGGAAGGCCCAGACAGCCAGGAUGUUGGCUUAGAAGCAGCCAUCAUUUAAAGAAAGCGUAAUAGCUCACUGGUCGAGUCGGCCUGCGCGGAAGAUGUAACGGGGCUAAACCAUGCACCGAAGCUGCGGCAGCGACGCUGAUGCGUUGUUGGGUAGGGGAGCGUUCUGUAAGCCUGCGAAGGUGUGCUGUGAGGCAUGCUGGAGGUAUCAGAAGUGCGAAUGCUGACAUAAGUAACGAUAAAGCGGGUGAAAAGCCCGCUCGCCGGAAGACCAAGGGUUCCUGUCCAACGUUAAUCGGGGCAGGGUGAGUCGACCCCUAAGGCGAGGCCGAAAGGCGUAGUCGAUGGGAAACAGGUUAAUAUUCCUGUACUUGGUGUUACUGCGAAGGGGGGACGGAGAAGGCUAUGUUGGCCGGGCGACGGUUGUCCCGGUUUAAGCGUGUAGGCUGGUUUUCCAGGCAAAUCCGGAAAAUCAAGGCUGAGGCGUGAUGACGAGGCACUACGGUGCUGAAGCAACAAAUGCCCUGCUUCCAGGAAAAGCCUCUAAGCAUCAGGUAACAUCAAAUCGUACCCCAAACCGACACAGGUGGUCAGGUAGAGAAUACCAAGGCGCUUGAGAGAACUCGGGUGAAGGAACUAGGCAAAAUGGUGCCGUAACUUCGGGAGAAGGCACGCUGAUAUGUAGGUGAAGUCCCUUGCGGAUGGAGCUGAAAUCAGUCGAAGAUACCAGCUGGCUGCAACUGUUUAUUAAAAACACAGCACUGUGCAAACACGAAAGUGGACGUAUACGGUGUGACGCCUGCCCGGUGCCGGAAGGUUAAUUGAUGGGGUCAGCGCAAGCGAAGCUCUUGAUCGAAGCCCCGGUAAACGGCGGCCGUAACUAUAACGGUCCUAAGGUAGCGAAAUUCCUUGUCGGGUAAGUUCCGACCUGCACGAAUGGCGUAAUGAUGGCCAGGCUGUCUCCACCCGAGACUCAGUGAAAUUGAACUCGCUGUGAAGAUGCAGUGUACCCGCGGCAAGACGGAAAGACCCCGUGAACCUUUACUAUAGCUUGACACUGAACAUUGAGCCUUGAUGUGUAGGAUAGGUGGGAGGCUUGGAAGUGUGGACGCCAGUCUGCAUGGAGCCGACCUUGAAAUACCACCCUUUAAUGUUUGAUGUUCUAACGUUGACCCGUAAUCCGGGUUGCGGACAGUGUCUGGUGGGUAGUUUGACUGGGGCGGUCUCCUCCUAAAGAGUAACGGAGGAGCACGAAGGUUGGCUAAUCCUGGUCGGACAUCAGGAGGUUAGUGCAAUGGCAUAAGCCAGCUUGACUGCGAGCGUGACGGCGCGAGCAGGUGCGAAAGCAGGUCAUAGUGAUCCGGUGGUUCUGAAUGGAAGGGCCAUCGCUCAACGGAUAAAAGGUACUCCGGGGAUAACAGGCUGAUACCGCCCAAGAGUUCAUAUCGACGGCGGUGUUUGGCACCUCGAUGUCGGCUCAUCACAUCCUGGGGCUGAAGUAGGUCCCAAGGGUAUGGCUGUUCGCCAUUUAAAGUGGUACGCGAGCUGGGUUUAGAACGUCGUGAGACAGUUCGGUCCCUAUCUGCCGUGGGCGCUGGAGAACUGAGGGGGGCUGCUCCUAGUACGAGAGGACCGGAGUGGACGCAUCACUGGUGUUCGGGUUGUCAUGCCAAUGGCACUGCCCGGUAGCUAAAUGCGGAAGAGAUAAGUGCUGAAAGCAUCUAAGCACGAAACUUGCCCCGAGAUGAGUUCUCCCUGACCCUUUAAGGGUCCUGAAGGAACGUUGAAGACGACGACGUUGAUAGGCCGGGUGUGUAAGCGCAGCGAUGCGUUGAGCUAACCGGUACUAAUGAACCGUGAGGCUUAACCUUACAACGCCGAAGCUGUU
rnacentral:rRNA from 1 species